GAUGAACGCUAGCGAUAGGCUUAACACAUGCAAGUCGAGGGGCAGCACAAGGUAGCUUGCUAUCUGGGUGGCGACCGGCGCACGGGUGCGUAACGCGUAUGCAACUUGCCCUAUACAGGAGGAUAACCCGUCGAAAGACGGACUAAUACUGCGUAUGCUCACAACUUGGCAUCAAGUGGUGAGGAAAGAAAUUCGGUAUAGGAUAGGCAUGCGUCCCAUUAGCUUGUUGGUGAGGUAACGGCUCACCAAGGCAACGAUGGGUAGGGGAACUGAGAGGUUUAUCCCCCACACUGGUACUGAGACACAGACCAGACUCCUACGGGAGGCAGCAGUGAGGAAUAUUGGUCAAUGGGCGCGAGCCUGAACCAGCCAAGUCGCGUGAAGGAGGACUGUCUUAUGGAUUGUAAACUUCUUUUAUACGGGAAUAACAAGAGUCACGUGUGACUCCCUGCAUGUACCGUAUGAAUAAGCAUCGGCUAACUCCGUG
rnacentral:rRNA from 1 species